rnacentral:rRNA from 1 species
GAGUUUGAUCAUGGCUCAGAUUGAACGCUGGCGGUAUGCUUAACACAUGCAAGUCGAACGGGAUGGGAAACCAUCUAGUGGCGGACGGGUGAGUAACGCGUAGGGAUCUGCCCUGGAGAGUGGGAUAACAUUAGGAAACUGGUGCUAAUACCACGUACGCUCUGAGGAGGAAAGGCAGCGCAAGCUGUCGCUCUAGGAUGAACCUGCGUUAGAUUAGCUAGUUGGUGGGGUAACGGCCUACCAAGGCGAUGAUCUAUAGCUGUUCUGAGAGGAAGACCAGCCACACUGGGACUGAGACACGGCCCAGACUCCUACGGGAGGCAGCAGUGGGGAAUAUUGGACAAUGGGCGGAAGCCUGAUCCAGCAAUACCGCGUGUGUGAAGAAGGCCUGCGGGUUGUAAAGCACUUUCGGAGGGGAGGAAGUAUAUAUUUUUAAUUAGAGAUGUAUAUUGACGCUACCCUCAGAAGAAGCACCGGCUAACUCUGUGCCAGCCGCCGCCGUAAC